GCCAGCAGCCGCGGUAAUACUAAGGGGGCAAGCGUUGUUCGGAAUUACUGGGCGUAAAGGGUGCGUAAGCGGUUUGGCAAGUCUGAUGUGAAAUCUCUGGGCUCAACCCGGAGUCUGCAUUUGAUACUGCCGGGCUUGAGUGCGGGAGAGGUUAGUGGAAUUCCCGGUGUAGCGGUGAAAUGCAUAUAUAUCGGGAGGAACACCAGUGGCGAAGGCGGCUAUCUGGACCUUUACUGACGCUGAGGCACGAAAGCUUGGGGAGCACACAGGAUUAGAUACCCUGGUAGUCCACGCCAUAAACGAUG
rnacentral:rRNA from 1 species